GACGAACCGAGCAAACGUUAUUCGGCCUCACUGGGCUUAAAGGGCGCGUAGGCGGGUCAGCAAGUCAGGGGUGAAAGCCCCCAGCUCAACUGGGGAAGUGCCUUUGAUACUGUUGAUCUCGAGGGAGGUAGGGGCGUGCGGAACUUCCGGUGGAGCGGUGAAAUGCGUAGAUAUCGGAAGGAACACCGGUGGCGAAAGCGGCGCGCUGGACCUCUUCUGACGCUGAGGCGCGAAAGCCAGGGGAGCAAACGGG
rnacentral:rRNA from 1 species